rnacentral:rRNA from 1 species
AUUGAACGCUGGCGGCAUGCCUUACACAUGCAAGUCGAACGGUAACAGGUCUUCGGAUGCUGACGAGUGGCGAACGGGUGAGUAAUACAUCGGAACGUGCCUAGUAGUUGGGGAUAACUACUCGAAAGAGUGGCUAAUACCGCAUGAGAUCUACGGAUGAAAGCAGGGAAUCGCAAGACCUUGUGGGACUAGAGCGGCCGAUGGUAGAUUAGGUAGGUGGUGGGAUAAAAGCUUACCAAGCCGACGAUCUGUAGCUGGUAUGAGCGGUCGAUGAGCAACAGUGGGACUGAGACACGGACCAGCCUCCUACGGGAGGCAGCAGUGGGGAAUUUUGGACAAUGGGCGCAAGCCUGAUCCAGCAAUGCCGCGUGAAGGAUGAGGGCCUUCGGGUUGUAAACUGCUUUUGUACGGAACGAAAAGCCCUGGGUUAAUACCCUGGGGUCAUGACGGUACCGUAAGAAUAAGCACCGGCUAACUACGUGCCAGCCGCCGCCGUAACAC